rnacentral:rRNA from 1 species
GAUGAACGCUGGCGGCGUGCCUAAUACAUGCAAGUCGAGCGAACAGACGAGGCGUUUGCUCCUUUGACGUUAGCGGCGCGCGGGUGAGUCACACGUGUAUAACCUACCUAUCAGACUGAGAUAACUUCGGGAAACCGGCGCUAAUACCGUAUAAUAUCUUGAACCGCAUGGUUCAAUGGUGAAAGACGGUUUUGCGGUAUGUACUAGAUGGUUCCGCGCGGCAUUAGCUAGUUGGUAGGGUAAAGGCUUACCAAGGGAACGAUGCGUGGCCGACCUGCGAGGGUGAUCGGCCACAUGGGAGGUGAGACACGGUCCAGAGUACUACGGGAGGCCGCAGAAGGGAAUGGUCCGCAAUGGGCGAAAGCCUGACAGAACGACGGCGCGUGAGUGAUGAAGGUGUUCGGAUCGUAAAACUGUGUUAUGAGGGAAGAACAACUGUGUAAGGAAAUAUAGACGGCGUGACGGUAACGGAUAAGAAAGCACCGGCUAACUACGUG